rnacentral:rRNA from 1 species
UACGGAGGAUCCAAGCGUUAUCCGGAAUCAUUGGGUUUAAAGGGUCCGUAGGCGGACCAUUAAGUCAGGGGUGAAAGUCUGCAGCUCAACUGUAGAAUUGCCUUUGAAACUAGUUGUCUUGAGUCAUUAUGAAGUAGUUAGAAUAUGUAGUGUAGCGGUGAAAUGCAUAGAUAUUACAUAGAAUACCAAUUGCGAAGGCAGAUUACUAAUAAUGUACUGACACUGAUGGACGAAAGCGUGGGGAGCGAACAGG